GUGUUAGCUCAUCGCAUCCCCAGGACGGCCCCAGCGGGUGGGUCUCAUCGUCCCAUCGUCCCAUCGUCCCAGACGGGGAGAGCCAGGCUUGAGGAGGCAGGGUGGCCAGUGCCUGCUGUGUCCAGGCAGGGGGACCCCUGCGCCUCACCUUUGUCAUCCUGCCUCCCCUGAAGAAACCAUGUGAUGGGAUCAGGCCGUGGGGUCUCCCAGCCCAGAAUCCAGCCAUCUGCCCAGAGUGACGCGGGGUCAUCCAAGUUCUGAACCCAGGAUGGAGUCUGCAGAGCCCCCAGGGAAGCCAAAAGAUCCUCAUUAUUCCGCGGGAUCCUCACCCCAAAAUAAAGAUAACCCAGAGUAAGACUGCCACCGUCCACCACACAAAACCCAGCAAGAAGGACUUUAUUCCAGCCGGGGCAGACUCUGCCCACACCGCCCGUUACGCUUCUCAGCACCCAGAGGGCUUUCUUUUCUUCCUCUGUUUGUCCUGGGCACUAUACUCAGAGCCAGACGCAGGAACUUCAAAAGCAGCCAGGAACGAUUUCCCGGGCACAGCCAAGGGCGUUCUAUCAGAAGGGACGUGCUCACAGUCCCUGGGAAGGGGUGACAGAAAGCGUCCUCCAGGAAGCAUCUCCCCCCACGGCUGGCCCAGCGUGCCCCCCACCAGUCUGGAUCCGGCGCCCCAGGGCUCUCUCCACAAACACAGCAGACACCGAGAGUGGGGCUGGCACACGUUUCUGCAAUCCCCAGAACAGAACUUUUCACCAACUUGAGACAGAGAGCGCGAGUCCCGGCUGCCCAGGUGGCACCAGUGAUGUGAGCGGCGAUCCAACGGCAGGUCCCUCCUGCCCACAAGAGUCAGCCCUUCUGCUUCUGGCGGACCCCAGCUCGGCCCGGUGGCCAGCACACCCGGCCCAGCUCCCUCCACGCCGGAUCCAGGGCAGAGCUGCUGUGGCCCCGGAACCCCCCAGACCCAGCGGCGG
ensembl:lncRNA